UCAUUCAUUUGAAGGUCAAGGUCACUGUGACCUUCAAUAUAAAAAAUGUUAAAGUUCUUAUAACUUUGGUAUGCUUGGACCUAGAGUCUUGAAACUUGACAUGAAGGUUGGCCAUAACUAGUUAGUAACCACUGGUCAUUUCAAGGUCAUUCAUUUGAAGGUCAAGGUCACUGUGACCUUGAAUGUAAAAAUGUUAAAGUUCUUAUUUCAUGGUAUAACUUUGGUAUGCUUGGACCUAGAGUCUUCAAACUUGACAUGAAGGUUGGCCAGGAUUAACAGAUGACCACUGGUCAUUUCAAGGUCAUUCAUUUGAAGGUGAAGGUCACUGUGACCUUCAAUAUAAAAAUGUUAAAGUUGUUAUAACUUUGGUAUGCUUGGACCUAGAGUCUUGAAACUUGACAUGAAGGUUGGCCAGAACUAGUAAGUAACCACUGGACAUUUCAAGGUCAUUCAUUUGAAGGUCAAGGUCACUGUGACCUUGAAUGUAAAAAUGUUAAAGUUGUUAUAACUUUGGUAUGCUUGGACCUAGAGUCUUGAAACUUGACAUGAAGGUUGGCCAUAACUAGUUAGUAACCACUGGUCAUUUCAAGGUCAUUCAUUUGAAGGUCAAGGUCACUGUGACCUUGAAUGUAAAAAUGUUAAAGUUCUUAUUUCAUGGUAUAACUUUGGUAUGCUUGGACCUAGAGUCUUCAAACUUGACAUUAAGGUUGGCCAGGAUUAACAGAUGACCACUGGUCAUUUCAAGGUCAUUCAUUUGAAGGUGAAGGUCACUGUGACCUUCAAUAUAAAAAUGUUAAAGUUGUUAUAACUUUGGUAUGCUUGGACCUAGAGUCUUGAAACUUGACAUGAAGGUUGGCCAGAACUAGUAAGUAACCACUGGACAUUUCAAGGUCAUUCAUUUGAAGGUCAAGGUCACUGUGACCUUGAAUGUAAAAAUGUUAAAGUUGUUAUAACUUUGGUAUGCUUGGACCUAGAGUCUUGAAACUUGACAUGAAGGUUGGCCAGAACUAGUAAGUAACCACUGGACAUUUCAAGGUCAUUCAUUUGAAGGUCAAGGUCACUGUGACCUUGAAUGUAAAAAUGUUUAAGUUCUUAUUUCAUGUUAUAACUUUGGUAUGCUUGUACCUAGAGUCUUCAAACUUGAAAUAAAGAUUGGCCAGUACUAGAAGAUGACCACUGGUCAUUUCAAUGUCAUUCAUUUGAAGGUCAAGGUCACUGUGACCUUCAAUGUUAAAAUGUUAAAAUUGUUAUAACUUUGGUAUGCUUGGACCUAGAAUCUCAAACUUGACGUAAAGGUUUGCAAGCACACUUAGAUGACCACUGGUCAUUUCAAGGUCAUUCAUUUCAAUGUCAUUCAUUUGAAGGUCAAGGUCACUGUGAACUUAAAUGUUAAAAUGUUAAAAUUGUUGUAACUUUGGUACUUUCCUGUCAUUUAAAUCAAAAAUCCGGCUUCAAUGCGGUCAUCUCCGACCGCGGAACUCUUGUUUAAUU